rnacentral:ncRNA from 2 species
GGCCAACAUCAGGAAGGGGCGAGCCCCUACCAACCUGCCUGACCUGGGCAAGGUGGUAUCCGCAAGGAGAUGUGGCCGAUCGGCAACCAAACAGGUACCU